CCGGAAGUGGGGGGGUUGUCUGCUCUCAGGCCCCGCCUCCCCGGGGCCGGCUCGGGCCACGUCUCGCGCGCUGCCAGAAGGAGCUAUUUUGAGCAGACAGGAUCUUUCUCUUAUCAUCCAGGCUGGACUGUGGUGGCACAAUUAUGGCUCAUUGCAGCCUUGAUCUCCAAGGCUCACACCAUCCUCCAACCUCAGCCUCCCAAGUAGCUGGGACUAUGGGUGUGCACUAUCCUCAGAUGGAGUUUUGCUGUUCUUGCCCAGGCUGGAGUGCAACAGCGUGAUCUCAGCUCACUGCAACCUCCACCUCCCGGGUUCAAGUGAUCCUGCUGCCUCAGCCUCCCGAGUAGCUGGGAUUACAGGCAUAUGCCACCACAGGCGUGAGGCGUGAGCCACCACACCUGGCCAUGCCCAGCUUCAAGGAGACUCUGCAUUCAAAAGACCACUCCCGGGCACUGCCUUCUACCAACUUCCCCAUCCAACUCUGAUUGCAUCGGACCACUGUCUUCCCUCCAUGCCUCCAGCCCUGAGGUUGUCAACGGGGUGCUCCAGCCUCCAUGUGCACCCUGUGACUUCCUUCAUCCUAGUCCUGCUGACCCUCGUGGCUUCUCCUGCUCCAAGGCCAAGCUCGGGACCCUGUCAUCAUCCCCGGGGACAGGCCCCAUCUUAGAGAGAAUCCACCCAGCUCCCCACUCCUGAGCCAUCUUCCAGCUAUCCCGCCUCGAGACUCCCACCGCACCUGCUCCUGGGCUGCAGCUGCACCCAACAAGUCAACAUGUGGAUUGCUUCUAGAAUUUGGAUAUUAUGAACACUGCUGUGCUGAACAUUCUUGUACACUUAUAUGGUUUGGCUGUGUCCCCACCCAAAUCUCAUCUUGAAUUGUAGCUCCCAUAAUUCCUAUGUGUCGUGGGAGGGACCCAAUGGGAGGUAAUUGAAUCAUAGGGGCAGGUCUUUCCCCUGCUAUCCUUGUGAUAGUGAAUAAGUCUCAUGAGAUCUGAUGGUUUUAUACAUGGGAGUUCCCCUGCACAAUACAUGGGAGUUCCCCUGCACAAGCCCUCUUGUCUGCCACCAUGUAAGAUGUGCCUUUGCUUCUCCUCUGCCUUCCACCAUAAUUGUGAGGACUCCCCAACCAUGUGGAACUGUGAGUCCAUUAAACCUCUUUCCUUUGUAAAUUA